rnacentral:misc_RNA from 1 species
AAAGUCGUAACAAGGUUUCCGUAGGUGAACCUGCGGAAGGAUCAUUACAAAUCCAUCCACGUCUCCUUCAAAAGAGACCACGUUGAAAUGUUUCUCUUCCUGCCUGACCGAGACGCAGCCUUGUGCUGCCCUCGUGCUAGUGCAUGGUCGAGCUCUCUCUCGUCCUCUUCUGGGGUUCGAGAGAUAUAAACUGCAUCUUGUUGCCCAAAUGUAUAUUCACUAGUUGAUUUCAACUAUAAGUACAACUUAUAACAAUGGAUCUCUAGGCUCUU